UUCCAGGAAAUAGCUCUGGCUUAUAGAUCGUACCCUAAACCAACACAGGUGGGAUGGUAGAGCAUACCGAGGCGCUUGAGAGAACGAUGUUGAAGGAACUCGGCAAAUUGCCUCCGUAACUUCGGGAGAAGGAGGCCCCGUUCUUGGGCAACCAUGAGCGGGGGGCACAAAACAGGGGGUAGCGACUGUUUACUAAAAACACAGGGCUCUGCAAAGUCGCAAGACGACGUAUAGGGUCUGACGCCUGCCCGGUGCCGGAAGGUUAAGAGGAGAGGUGCAAGCCUUGAAUUGAAGCCCCGGUAAACGGCGGCCGUAACUAUAACGGUCCUAAGGUAGCGAAAUUCCUUGGCGGGUAAGUUCCGUCCUGCACGAAUGGCGUAACGACUUCCCCACUGUCUCCAACAUCGACUCAGCGAAAUUGAAUUCUCCGUGAAGAUGCGGAGUACCCGUGGUUAGACGGAAAGACCCCGUGCACCUUUACUAUAGCUUUGCACUGGUAUUAACGACUGUUUGUGUAGGAUAGGUGGGAGUCUAUGAAGCGCUGGCGCCAGCUUGCGUGGAGACAACCUUGAAAUANCCACCCUGAUAUUCGUUGAUAUCUAACCGAGCCCCGUGAAUCCGGGGCCGGGACCCUGCAUGGUGGGUAGUUUGACUGGGGCGGUCGCCUCCCAAAGAGUAACGGAGGCGCGCGAAGGUGAGCUCAAGCUGGUCGGAAAUCAGCUGUCGAGUGCAAUGGCAUAAGCUCGCCUGACUGCGAGGCCGACGGGCCGAGCAGAGACGAAAGUCGGUCAUAGUGAUCUGGUNGGUUCCGCGUGGAAGGGCCAUCACUUAACGGAUAAAAGGUACGCCGGGGAUAACAGGCUGAUACCGCCCAAGAGUCCACAUCGACGGCGGNUGUUUGGCACCUCGAUGUCGUCUCAUCACAUCCUGGGGCUGAAGCAGGUCCCAAGGGUUCGGCUGUUCGCCGAUUAAAGUGGUACGUGAGAUGGGUUUAGAACGUCGUGAGACAGUUCGGUCCCUAUCUGCCAUGGGUGUAGGAAACUUGAGAGGAGCUGUCCCUAGUACGAGAGGACCGGGAUGGACGUACCUCUGGUGUACCNGGNUUGUCGCGCCAGCGGCACCGCCGGGUAGCUAUGUACGGAAGGGAUAANCCGCUGAAAGCAUCUAAGCGGGAAGCCCCCCUCGAAACCAGGUCUCCCUUGAGAGCCGUGGAAGACCACCACGUUGAUAGGUCAGGUGUGGAAG
rnacentral:rRNA from 1 species